GCCUUCGUGGUGUAACGGUAACACACUCGAUGCGUAUUCGAGAGAUCCAGGUUCGAGUCCCAGUGAGGGAA
rnacentral:tRNA from 1 species